rnacentral:rRNA from 1 species
GACGAACGCUGGCGGCGUGCUUAACACAUGCAAGUCGAACGGAAAGGCCCUGCUUUUGUGGGGUGCUCGAGUGGCGAACGGGUGAGUAACACGUGAGUAACCUGCCCUUGACUUUGGGAUAACUUCAGGAAACUGGGGCUAAUACCGGAUAGGAGCUCCUGCUGCAUGGUGGGGGUUGGAAAGUUUCGGCGGUUGGGGAUGGACUCGCGGCUUAUCAGCUUGUUGGUGGGGUAGUGGCUUACCAAGGCUUUGACGGGUAGCCGGCCUGAGAGGGUGACCGGCCACAUUGGGACUGAGAGACGGCCCAGACUCCUACGGGAGGCAGCAGUGGGGAAUAUUGCACAAUGGGCGGAAGCCUGAUGCAGCAACGCCGCGGGCGGGAUGACGGCCUUCGGGUUGUAAACCGCUUUCGCCUGUGACGAAGCGUGAGUGACGGUAAUGGGUAAAGAAGCACCGGCUAACUACGUGC